rnacentral:SRP_RNA from 1 species
GCCGGGCGUGGUGGCGCACGCCUGUAAUCCCAGCACUUGGGAGGCUGAGGCAGGAGGAUCACUGUGAGUUUGAGACCAGCCUGGGGUACAUAGUGAGUCCCAGGUCAGCCUUAACUACAUAGUGAGACCCUGUCUCAA